rnacentral:rRNA from 1 species
GACGAACGCUGGCGGCGUGCUUAACACAUGCAAGUCGAACGGAAAGGCCCUGCUUUUGUGGGUGCUCGAGUGGCGAACGGGUGAGUAACACGUGAGUAACCUGCCCUUGACUUUGGGAUAACUUCAGGAAACUGGGGCUAAUACCGGAUAGGAGCUCCUGCUGCAUGGUGGGGGUUGGAAAGUUUCGGCGGUUGGGGAUGGACUCGCGGCGUAUCAGCUUGUUGGUGGGGUAGUGGCUUACCAAGGCUUUGACGGGUAGCCGGCCUGAGAGGGUGACCGGCCACAUUGGGACUGAGAUACGGCCCAGACUCCUACGGGAGGCAGCAGUGGGGAAUAUUGCACAAUGGGCGGAAGCCUGAUGCAGCAACGCCGCGUGCGGGAUGACGGCCUUCGGGUUGUAAACCGCUUUCGCCUGUGACGAAGCGUGAGUGACGGUAAUGGGUAAAGAAGCACCGGCUAACUACGUGCCAGCAGCCGCCGUAAGAC